UACGGGGGGGGCAAGCGUUGUUCGGAAUUACUGGGCGUAAAGGGCUCGUAGGCGGCCAACUAAGUCAGACGUGAAAUCCCUCGGCUUAACCGGGGAACUGCAUCUGAUACUGGAUGGCUUGAGUUCGGGAGAGGGAUGCGGAAUUCCAGGUGUAGCGGUGAAAUGCGUAGAUAUCUGGAGGAACACCGGUGGCGAAGGCGGCAUCCUGGACCGACCCUGACGCUGAGGCGCGAAGGCGUGGGGAGCGAACGGG
rnacentral:rRNA from 1 species